GCUUCCUCGAAUCCUUGUAAAGCAAUGUAUAGUUAUAACGCGCGCGUUACGAUACCCGGUGUUCUGAUUUCGCAGCUUUUCAGACACCACUGUACCGCAAUGUACGUUAACGAAGCUGCUGCAGGACGACUGCAAUCUAUUCCGAGGAUAUCAAAAACUAACGGUUCAAUAAUAUUUGGUUUAUUUUAUUACAUCUUAUCCCACUUUAUUAAAUUCUGUUUUAAAACAUUAUUUUAAUUUAUUCCAGCGGGCGAUCGAGUCGUUGAAUUUCGAACAGAGCUUAUUGUACACAGGAAUAUGAAUCUGGUGCGUCGCGACGCUUUAUGUUAUUCAUUAAUAAAAUCUUGCCACCGGUUAAUAUAACG
rnacentral:misc_RNA from 1 species